rnacentral:rRNA from 1 species
GACGAACGCUGGCGGCGUGCCUAAUACAUGCAAGUAGGACGCACAGUUUAUACCGUAGCUUGCUACACCAUAAACUGUGAGUUGCGAACGGGUGAGUAACGCGUAGGUAACCUGCCUGGUAGCGGGGGAUAACUAUUGGAAACGAUAGCUAAUACCGCAUAAUAUUGAUUAUUGCAUGAUAAUUGAUUGAAAGAUGCUAUUGCAUCACUACCAGAUGGACCUGCGUUGUAUUAGCUAGUAGGUGAGGUAACGGCUCACCUAGGCGACGAUACAUAGCCGACCUGAGAGGGUGAUCGGCCACACUGGGACUGAGACACGGCCCAGACUCCUACGGGAGGCAGCAGUAGGGAAUCUUCGGCAAUGGACGAAAGUCUGACCGAGCAACGCCGCGUGAGUGAAGAAGGUUGUCGGAUCGUAAAGCUCUGUUGUAAGAGAAGAACGGGUGUGAGAGUGGAAAGUUCACACUGUGACGGUAUCUUACCAGAAAGGGACGGCUAACUACGUG